rnacentral:rRNA from 1 species
GACCCCAGGUCAGGCGGGACUACCCGCUGAGUUUAAGCAUAUCAAUAACAU